rnacentral:rRNA from 1 species
CCUCAUACAGGGGGAUAGCAGUUGGAAACGACUGGUAAAACCGCAUAAGCGCACCAGUGUCGCAUGACACAGUGUGAAAACACUCCGGUGGUAUGAGAUGGACCCGCGUCUGAUUAGCUAGUUGGUGAGGUAACGGGCCCACCAAGGCGACGAUCAGUAGCCGGCCUGAGAGGGUNAACGGCCACAUUGGGACCUGAGACACGGCCCAAACUCCUACGGGAGGCAGCAGUGGGGAAUAUUGCACAAUGGGGGAAACCCUGAUGCAGCGACGCCGCGUGAGCGAAGAAGUAUUUCGGUAUGUAAAGCUCUAUCAGCAGGGAAGAAGAAAUGACGGUACCUGACUAAGAAGCACCGGCUAAAUACGUG